AUCAUUCCCCCUCUCCCCUCAGGGGGCCAGGGACUCUGCUAAAACUGUGUCCUGCCCCGUCUCCCCAAGCCUGACUGAGGUCCCCAGGUGGACCGGAUGCAGGCCAGACAAUGGCACCUCGCAAGAGGUGGGCAGCUGACACAAGACUGCAAGUGGAGUAGAUGGGGGAUUAGAAAAAAAUGACAAAGGGGUACUGAAGAAAGAGGGAAAAAGGCUGACUAGGGGUGGGGGAACAGACAGAGCCAUAGUGGGUCAGUCCAGAGCCUGACCUGAUGGGGUCCUGGGAAGGUGUGCCCUCCGAUUCCAUCAUUUGCGCCUCUCAAAUAACCCUUUUCACCUCUCUAGGCCCCUCAGCCUUCCCACUCUCCUUGGCUCACUCAGCUGCCCAGCCCCCUGCCUCUUGCACGCCUGUUCCCCUCCCUGGCUGCAGUUUUUGCACAAGCUUGCCCCCUGGCUGUCUUGCACACCUCCGGCCUGUAAGGCCCUCUCAGCUUCCCAACACGCUGCAUUCGGUUUUUUGUU
rnacentral:lncRNA from 1 species